rnacentral:lncRNA from 1 species
UAGCCAGGCUGGUCUCGAACUCCUGGCCUGAGGUGAUUCACCCACCAUGGCCUCCCAAAGUACUGGGAUUAUAGGCAUGAACUACCAUUCCCAGUUUGUUGUUUUUUUUGUUUGUUUGUUUUUUGUUUUUUGAGAUAGAGUAUCACUCUGUCGCCCAGGCUACAGUGCAGUGGAACGAUCUCCACUCACUUCAGUCUUCACCUCCCAGGUUCAAACGAUUCUUAUGCCUCAGCCUCCCUAGUAGCUGGGAUUACAGAUGCAUGCCACCACACCUGGCUAAUUUUUAUAUUCUUUGGUAGAAAUGGGGUUUCACCAUGUUGGCCAGGCUGGUCUUGAACUCCUAGCCUCAGCUGAUCUGCCUGCCUCAGCCUCCCAAAGUGAUGGGAUUACAGGCAAGCAUGAGCCAUUGCACCCAGCCUAAUUUUUGUAUUUUAGUUGAGAUGGGGUUUCACCAUGUUGGGCAGGAUGGUCUUUAACCCCUGACCCCAGGUGAUCCAUGGCCUUGGCCUUCCAUAGUAUUGGGAUUACAGGUAUGAGCCGAUGCACCUGACCCUUGUUCUGAUAUUUAGGUCUUAAAAAUAGACCCUGUUAUAGUCUGUAGUUUCCAAUGUACAGGUUUCACACAUCUUUCAUUAGAUUUAUUCCUGGGCUGGGCGCGGUGGCUCACGCCUGUAAUCCUAGCACUUUAGGAGGCCGAGGUGGCAGAUCACCUGAGGUUAGGAGUUCAAGACCAGCCUGGC